rnacentral:rRNA from 1 species
UACGUAGGGUGCAAGCGUUGUCCGGAAUUAUUGGGCGUAAAGAGCUCGUAGGCGGUCUGUCGCGUCGAAUGUGAAAACCCGGGACUCAACUCCGGGCCUGCAUUCGAUACGGGCAGACUAGAGUUCGGUAGGGGAGACUGGAAUUCCUGGUGUAGCGGUGAAAUGCGCAGAUAUCAGGAGGAACACCGGUGGCGAAGGCGGAUCUCUGGGCCGUAACUGACGCUGAGGAGCGAAAGCACGGGUAGCGAACAGG